GAUUUCUGGUUCGAUGCGUUUGGCCCUCUCGGAGCAAUCCGGUGUGCGUGCCGAUGCGCGUCUGCCAUCCUUGUAGAGAACGUUUCUACCCUUCACUGGGCCGGAUUCGCAAUCUACAUCCUUUACUUUGAAAAAAUUAGAGUGUUUAAAGCAGGCUUGUGCUAUGAAUACAUUAGCAUGGAAUAAUAAUUUAGGACUUCUGUUCUAUUUUGUUGGUUUCUAGGAUGGAAGUAAUGAUUGAUAGGGAUAGUUGGGGGUGCUAGUAUUCCGCGGCCAGAGGUGAAAUUCUUGGAUUCGCGGAAGACUAACUUAUGCGAAAGCAUU
rnacentral:rRNA from 1 species